GAUGAACGCUAGCUACAGGCUUAACACAUGCAAGUCGAGGGGCAGCGGGAUUGAAGCUUGCUUCAAUUGCCGGCGACCGGCGCACGGGUGAGUAACGCGUAUCCAACCUUCCGUACACUCAGGGAUAGCCUUUCGAAAGAAAGAUUAAUACCUGAUGGUAUCUUAAGCACACAUGUAAUUAAGAUUAAAGAUUUAUCGGUGUACGAUGGGGAUGCGUUCCACUAGGUAGUAGGCGGGGUAACGGCCCACCUAGCCAACGAUGGAUAGGGGUUCUGAGAGGAAGGUCCCCCCACAUUGGAACUGAGACACGGUCCAAACUCCUACGGGAGCAGCAGUGAGGAAUAUUGGUCAAUGGACGAGAGUCUGAACCAGCCAAGUAGCGUGAAGGAUGAAGGUCCUACGGAUUGUAAACUUCGUUUAUAAGGGAUAAACCCUCCACGUGUGGGAGCUUGUAUGUACCUUAUGAAUAAGCAUCGGCUAACUCCGUG
rnacentral:rRNA from 1 species